UACGAAGGGGGCUAGCGUUGCUCGGAAUCACUGGGCGUAAAGCGCACGUAGGCGGAUUGUUAAGUCAGGGGUGAAAUCCUGGAGCUCAACUCCAGAACUGCCUUUGAUACUGGCGAUCUUGAGUCCGGGAGAGGUGAGUGGAACUGCGAGUGUAGAGGUGAAAUUCGUAGAUAUUCGCAAGAACACCAGUGGCGAGGGCGGCUCACUGGCCCGGUACUGACGCUGAGACGCGAAAGCGUGGGGAGCAAACAGG
rnacentral:rRNA from 1 species